GAGAGAGAGAGAGAGAGAGAGAGAGAGAGAGAGAGAGAGGUAGACAGAGUGAGAGAGGUAGACAGAGUGUGUGAGAGAGAGAGAGAGAGGUAGACAGAGUGAGAGAGGUAGACAGAGUAAGAGUGAGAGAUAUAUUCACUUUAUAUAUUAUCUACCUCACUUGCUUUGGCAAUGUUAACACAUGUUUCCCAUGCCAAUAAAGCCCUUGAAUUGAAUUGAAAUUGAAUUGAGAGGUAGACAGAGUGAGAGAGAUGGACAGAGUGAGAGAGGUAGAGUGAAAAAGGUAGACAGAGUGAGAGAGGUAGACAGAGUGAGAGAGGGAGAGAGAGUAAGAGCGAGAGAGGUAGAGUGAGAAAGGUAGACAGAGUGAGAGAGGUAGACAGAGUGAGAGAGGGAGAGAGAGUAAGAGCGAGAGAGGUAGAGUGAGAGAGGUAGACAGAGUGAGAGAGGUAGACAGAGUGAGAGAGGUAGACAGAGUGAGAGAGGUAGACAGAGUGAGAGAGGUAGACAGAGUGAGAGAGGGAG
ensembl:lncRNA